AUUUUAAUUUUUAACUCUAUUUGUUGUGAUUUCUUUUCUUUUUAGUUUUUUUUACGUUGUUUUUUGUAAAAUAUUUCAGUUUGUUAUGUGUUGGAAAGUAAUUAAAAAUUUGGUUUUUAAACUGGAUUAGUACCCAGGUAAUCAAAAUUUAUUAAUACGGGAGUAAAGUUUUGUUUAAACCGAAAAAAUAUUGACUGACUUUGGAUUUUUCUUUGGAAUAUGUAUUGUGGAAGGCCCUCCUUUUUAGUUGAUCAUGUGGGCACAUGUAUGAUUGUUUAGUUUUUAUUCUUUUUGUGAUGCGUUAACUUUUUGUGUUUUAAAACAGAUAAAUAUUUGGCUUAUUGGUUUAUUUAUAUGUGUUACUAUUUUAAAUUUUUUGGAUGUUUUUUUAAUUUUUUUCUGAAAUUGGAAAAGAAAGUAAUUUUAUUUUAAUAUUUUUAGAAUUAAAAGCAAA
rnacentral:rRNA from 1 species